AAGUAUGUAGCUUAGUUGGUAGAGCGUUGGACUUUUAAUCCAUAGGCCUUGGGUUCAACCCCCAACAUACUUA
rnacentral:tRNA from 1 species